GUGCUCCUUUACAAGUUCAUGUACUAACUUGAAAUAAUACAGACUAUUAGCAUGGCCCCUGCACAAAACCAUGAAACAUUGCAUAUUCUU
ensembl:snRNA U6 U6 spliceosomal RNA